rnacentral:misc_RNA from 1 species
AUGUCAGAGAAUAAAACAUCUAUUCGAAAAAAGCACAUGGAAUUCACACCGAUGGUUCCAGAAACAACAUUUCAAUACGCAGAUCUUAGCAUCAAACAUAUUGAUGCCGAAAAUACACUUGCGAUGGUGAGACGAGCUAUCCGAAUGGGCUACGACGCCGUAGCAAUUAAUAUUGAUUUGGGAGAUAUUUCCGAUUAUUAUACAGAACUCGACAUGCUUUGGACACCAGGAAGUCAGAAUAAUGUCGAUGGGGAACCUCCGAAGAAAAAGAAAAAGAAACAACAACGAAAAGAUGAGUUGGCAGAUGGAAUUGCUGGAAUUUUAAAGAAAAAGCUGAUCCCGCCACCGCAUUACGUGGAUGUCAGUCAAUUGAAUACUUCGGAACUCGAAAAACGUGGAAAAGUGUUCCGUCAAUUCAGUAGAAUUACAUUUACUGCAAAUGAGCAAGUAGUUAUCAAUAAAGUUUUCAUUCACCCAACUAUUUUGUCCUACGACAUCGUUGCCGUUCGCCCGGGCGAGCCAUCAGUACUUGACACACUUUCACGAAAAACUGAGCUUUUCGAUAUUAUCACAAUUGAUCAUUUGGAGGAAGAAAGGGUAUUUUAGUGGAAUUUCAAUGGAAAAAUUAAACUAAAACCUGUUUCUCUGCAGAGAAAAUGGUUGUCAGUGUCGAAAGUGAUGGAUCGAAUUCGAAACGAUGGAGUUUUCUACGAAAUUGCAUAUGCAGAGAGUUUGAUGCCUGCCACACGGAAAAAUACAUUGUUCAACGGCCGAGUCCUGAUCAGAUCCCUAAAAUCGAAGAACAUAAUCUUCUCAUCCGGUGCUGAAACAAUGCUUGAUCUCCGUUCCCCAGUCGACGUGAUGAAUAUGUCUCUUUUGUGGGGUGUUGCAAAUAACGAAGCACGCAAAAUGAUUUCCGGUUUCCCGAAGAACCUUCUCCUUCAAGCGGAAUGCCGUGGAACUGGAAAUGGAGAUGUUUGUUCGAUGAAGUUGAGUGAUGCAGAAAAAUUGGCAGGAAAUGGAGAAGAAGAAGAGCAGGAUGGAGCUUCUGAAGAGAAGGUUGUUGUUGGAAAAGAAGAAGAAGCCGAGAAAGUGAAAGCUCCACCGAUUGAAGUUAGAAUGAAUCAUUCUCAAUAUCAGGCACUGCUACAGGCAACUAAAAAUGCUAAUGAUAUGAUGAAGAAAAUAAAAGCAUCGAAAGCAGCUUCAUCGUCUUAA